rnacentral:misc_RNA from 1 species
CGUGCCUGCGCGGCUCGCGCGGGCUCUACGGCGCCGGCCGACGGCGCCGUUUUCUUUCCUGCAC